UACGUAGGGUGCAAGCGUUAAUCGGAAUUACUGGGCGUAAAGCGUGCGCAGGCGGUUAUGCAAGACAGAUGUGAAAUCCCCGGGCUCAACCUGGGAACUGCAUUUGUGACUGCAUAGCUAGAGUGCGGCAGAGGGAGAUGGAAUUCCGCGUGUAGCAGUGAAAUGCGUAGAUAUGCGGAGGAACACCGAUGGCGAAGGCAAUCUCCCGGGCCUGCACUGACGCUCAUGCACGAAAGCGUGGGGAGCAAACAGG
rnacentral:rRNA from 1 species